rnacentral:rRNA from 1 species
GCUGGCGGCGUGCCUAAUACAUGCAAGUCGAACGGUCUUUCUAUGGAAGCUUGCUUCCACUGAGAAGAUAGUGGCGAACGGGUGAGUAACAACGUGGGUAACCUGCCCAUAAGAGGGGGAUAACAUCCGGAAACGGGUGCUAAUACCGCAUAGUUUUCUUGAUCGCAUGAUCGGGAAAGGAAAGACGGCCUUUGUGCUGUCGCUUAUGGAUGGACCCGCGGCGUAUUAGUUAGUUGGUGAGGUAACGGCUCACCAAGACGAUGAUACGUAGCCGACCUGAGAGGGUGAUCGGCCACAUUGGGACUGAGACACGGCCCAAACUCCUACGGGAGGCAGCAGUAGGGAAUCUUCCGCAAUGGACGAAAGUCUGACGGAGCAACGCCGCGUGAGUGAAGAAAAGGUUUUCGGAUCGUAAAACUCUGUUGUCAGAGAAGAACAAGUUGGAGAGUAACUGCUCCAGCCUUGACGGUAUCUGACCAGAAAGCCACGGCUAACUACGUGCCAGCCGCAGC